rfam:Ictidomys tridecemlineatus contig104283, whole genome shotgun sequence.
GGUUGUAGCUCAGAGGUAGAGUACUUGACUAGCAUGCAUGAGGAUCUGGGUUCCAUCCCCAGUAUCACCA